rnacentral:tRNA from 1 species
GCUGGCGUAGCUCAGUUGGUAGAGCAACUGAUUUGUAAUCAGUAGGUCGUAGGUUCAAGUCCUAUUGCCAGCU